GUGGAAGCAGAAAGAGACGGAAUUGGGGUCUAACCCAGAAGAAAACCUAAUCAGGAGGGGAAGAGGGUGAAUUCAGGAAGAGGCUCGCAGGGGCAAUGGAGUGUCCUGGGAAGAGUCUGAAUUUAGAACUGGGAAGCCCCAGUCUGGUCCAAUCUCGGCUCUGCUACUUCCUAAUUUUGUGACCUUGGACAACUCAGUGAACUAUACCAAGCCAUCGUUUCCUAUAAACUGAAGGGUCCUGGAAACUAUAAGAAACCAAAAGAACACCAUGGGAAAGAAAAUAUUUG